GGGAGUUUCCCUCAUUGCAUGAAAACCAGAAUGAAAUCUCUGUUGCUUUUCCUGUCCCUGUUCUCCACCCUCACCUGUGUCCUCUCCCAGGUGCAGCUGGUCCAGUCGGGCCCGGGAGCAGUGAAACCCGGAGAGAUCCUCACCCUGACCUGCGCUGUCUUGGGUGUAUCCAUCACUGACAGCAGCUACGGCUGGGACUGGUUCCGGCAGCCUCUUGGAGGAAGGCUGGAGUGGGUUGUAGGGAUUUAUCCACAUGGCGGCGCCACAAACUACGCCCCAUCCCUCCAAAGCCGAUCCACCGUCUCUGCAGACACCGCCAAGAACCAGGUCUCCCUGCAGCUCCGCUCGCUGACAGCUGCAGACACCGCCACCUAUUACUGCGCCAGGCACAGUGGCACAGAGCAGAGCAGGGACUGGCACAAAAAGGGGAAGCGGUUUCCUAACAGCCUAGUGAGGCCGGAGUUGCCGGUACAGUGGAGUCCCCCGGAGACAGAAACAUGCAGUGGAGAGAAUACGACAAACAGAUACUUCUAA